UGGACCAAUGAUGACAGUUGGUGAUGUGUGAGUCGUGGAUGAUGAAUGUUACGUGUCUGAAACUCGGAGGUCCAA
ensembl:snoRNA